GACGAACGCUGGCGGCGUGCCUAAUACAUGCAAGUUGAGCGCUGAAGGUUGGUACUUGUACCAACUGGAUGAGCAGCGAACGGGUGAGUAACGCGUGGGGAAUCUGCCUUUGAGCGGGGGACAACAUUUGGAAACGAAUGCUAAUACCGCAUAAAAACUUUAAACACAAGUUUUAAGUUUGAAAGAUGCAAUUGCAUCACUCAAAGAUGAUCCCGCGUUGUAUUAGCUAGUUGGUGAGGUAAAGGCUCACCAAGGCGAUGAUACAUAGCCGACCUGAGAGGGUGAACGGCCAAAUUGGGAAUGAGACACGGCCCAAACUCCUACGGGAGGCAGCAGUAGGGAAUCUUCGGCAAUGGACGAAAGUCUGACCGAGCAACGCCGCGUGAGUGAAGAAGGUUUUCGGAUCGUAAAAAUCUGUUGGUAGAGAAGAACGUUGGUGAGAGUGGAAAGCUCAUCAAGUGACGGUAACUACCCAGAAAGGGACGGCUAACUACGUG
rnacentral:rRNA from 1 species